rnacentral:rRNA from 1 species
UACGAAGGGGGCUAGCGUUGUUCGGAUUUACUGGGCGUAAAGCGUGCGCAGGCGGUUUGUUAAGUCUGUUGUGAAAUCCCCGAGCUCAACUUGGGAAUUGCAAUGGAUACUGGCAGGCUGGAGUAUGGUAGAGGAAGGUGGAAUUCCCGGUGUAGCAGUGAAAUGCGUAGAGAUCGGGAGGAACACCAGUGGCGAAGGCGGCCUUCUGGACCAAUACUGACGCUCAUGCACGAAAGCGUGGGGAGCAAACAGG